rnacentral:rRNA from 1 species
CACGUAGGGUGCGAGCGUUGCCCGGAAUUAUUGGGCGUAAAGAGCUCGUAGGCGGUGUGUCGCGUCGGCCGUGAAAACUUGCAGCUUAACUGUGGGCGUGCGGUCGAUACGGGCAUCACUGGAGUUCGGCAGGGGAGACUGGAAUUCCUGGUGUAGCGGUGAAAUGCGCAGAUAUCAGGAGGAACACCGGUGGCGAAGGCGGGUCUCUGGGCCGAUACUGACGCUGAGGAGCGAAAGCGUGGGGAGCGAACAGG